UUAUCUCUGUAGAGUCUGCAUAUCAAUAAGCGGAGGAAAAGAAACUAACAAGGAUUCCCCUUAGUAACGGCGAGUGAAGCGGGAAGAGCUCAAAUUUGAAAUCUUCAAGGUUCUACCUUGACGAAUUGUAGUUUAAAGAAGUGUUUUCUGUUGGAGUUUUGGUAAAAGUUCUUUGGAAUAGGACAUCAUAGAGGGUGAGAAUCCCGUAUUUGACCAUUACUUUCCAGCUUUGUGAUACACUUUCAAAGAGUCGGAUUGUUUGGGAUGCAGUCCAAAAUGGGUGGUAAAUUUCAUCUAAAGCUAAAUAUUGGCGAGAGACCGAUAGCGAACAAGUACCGUGAGGGAAAGAUGAAAAGAACUUUGAAAAGAGAGUUAAACAGUACGUGAAAUUGUCAAAAGGGAAGCGUUUGACACCAGUGUUGUUUUCUCGAAAAUCAAUUCAUAAUAAUAUAAUGUUAAGUUGUAUUGACCUUAUCAGCUUUCUGCUUAAUUUUUGUAUUUUUAUGAAUGCACUUUUCGUUUAACAAGUCAACAUCAAUUUCUUUUGCUGUAAAAGGAUAAGAGGAAUGUGGCUUAAGCUUCGGUUUAAGUGUUUAUAGCCUUUUAUCUCUGCAAUCGGAGAGAUUGAGGUCUGCAGCGUAGAUCUUUCUGGAUUAGAUACAUUUGUGCUAAGUUAUAGCUUUGUAUAGACAACUUGUUGACUAUAUUUAGUCUUGUAACUUACUCGCUUAUGCUAUUUUACCUACGCUUAGGAUGUUGAUGUGAUACUGCGAGCA
rnacentral:rRNA from 1 species